UACGUAGGGGGCUAGCGUUGUCCGGAAUCAUUGGGCGUAAAGCGCGCGUAGGCGGCCCGGUAAGUCCGCUGUGAAAGUCAAAGGCUCAACCUUUGAAUGUCAGCGGAUACUGCCGGGCUAGAGUCCGGAAGAGGCGAGUGGAAUUCCUGGUGUAGCGGUGGAAUGCGCAGAUAUCAGGAGGAACACCAACGGCGAAGGCAGCUCGCUGGGACGGUACUGACGCUGAUGCGCGAAAGCGUGGGGAGCAAACGGG
rnacentral:rRNA from 1 species